rnacentral:rRNA from 1 species
GACGAACGCUGGCGGCGUGCUUAACACAUGCAAGUCGAACGGAAAGGCCCCGCUUUUGUGGGGUGCUCGAGUGGCGAACGGGUGAGUAACACGUGAGUAACCUGCCCUUGACUUUGGGAUAACUUCAGGAAACUGGGGCUAAUACCGGAUAGGAGCUCCUGCUGCAUGGUGGGGGUUGGAAAGUUUCGGCGGUUGGGGAUGGACUCGCGGCUUAUCAGCUUGUUGGUGGGGUAGUGGCUUACCAAGGCUUUGACGGGUAGCCGGCCUGAGAGGGUGACCGACCACAUUGGGACUGGGAUACGGCCCAGACUCCUACGGGAGGCAGCAGUGGGGAAUAUUGCACAAUGGGCGGAAGCCUGAUGCAGCAACGCCGCGUGCGGGAUGACGGCCUUCGGGUUGUAAACCGCUUUCGCCUGUGACGAAGCGUGAGUGACGGUAAUGGGUAAAGAAGCACCGGCUAACUACGUG